GCUUUCUUCGGCCAUACAUGCAAUAAAAUUGGAAAGAGAAGAAUAUCAUGGCCCCUGCACAAGGAUGACAUGCAAAUUCAUAAAGCAUUCCAUAUUCAA
ensembl:snRNA U6 U6 spliceosomal RNA